CUAUGGCUCCAUGGGGAGAGGAAGAGGUGUGCUAUCAGACUGGGUUUUUUGGUCGUUGCAGGAAUGAAGAAAUAGCUUACUCGACAAGGGAAGAGAGUGGGGUAAUACCGUAGAAAUAUAAACACAGAUGAGGUCGUCCCUCCGUUUCCCCACAAAGAAAUGUAAAAUCAUAAAGCGGUCCUCCAAUCUCUCCAUGAGUGCCACGUCAUCGUGCUAUUUCCAAUAAAUUAAUUUCAUUUCAUGGUUUACAAUAUCCAUCAAUGGCCCUUUCGUAUUUCCAAUACAUUAAUUUCAUUUCGUGAUAAUAUUUAUAUUAUGAAACUAACUGGUCCACACAAUGCAAAGUUUCAUUAGUUUUUAUUUCCAAGGCAUACAAGCCAUAGCAUUUAAAGAAGCGAUAAAUGUGCCCAUGAGUAGCUAAAUAUCAUCAUUAUAUAUGAAAUUCCGGUCUGGUAAAUAGUAGUUAAACAAGAUGAUCCGGUGUACACGAACAGACAGAUAUAGUUGUCACUCAGGAAGGUCCUUUCUGCAAAAAAAAAAAUACACCGAUUCGCUAACCGCUUCCACUCCCUUAUCAUUUGUCUUUCUUGGUACUGCAACCUCUACCUCGUCCAUAACUUCCCCCUUCUCUAUUUAUUACGAGUCCUCUAUUGUUCUCCCUCUACAUUCUUUUUUGACUGUCCAGCCAAUCUCUCCUCAAUCAUGGUUCCUUCCUUGGCAAAUCUUAUGCCAGAUCUUGU
rnacentral:lncRNA from 1 species